UGCUUCUCUGUAUGAGUUGCGAACGGGUGAGUAACGCGUAGGUAACCUGCCUGGUAGCGGGGGAUAACUAUUGGAAACGAUAGCUAAUACCGCAUAAUAGUAGAUGUUGCAUGACAUUUGCUUAAAAGGUGCAAUUGCAUCACUACCAGAUGGACCUGCGUUGUAUUAGCUAGUUGGUGGGGUAACGGCUCACCAAGGCGACGAUACAUAGCCGACCUGAGAGGGUGAUCGGCCACACUGGGACUGAGACACGGCCCAGACUCCUACGGGAGGCAGCAGUAGGGAAUCUUCGGCAAUGGACGGAAGUCUGACCGAGCAACGCCGCGUGAGUGAAGAAGGUUUUCGGAUCGUAAAGCUCUGUUGUAAGAGAAGAACGAGUGUGAGAGUGGAAAGUUCACACUGUGACGGUAUCUUACCAGAAAGGGACGGCUAACUACGUGCCAGCAGCCGCGGUAAUACGUAGGUCCCGAGCGUUGUCCGGAUUUAUUGGGCGUAAAGCGAGCGCAGGCGGUUAGAU
rnacentral:rRNA from 1 species